ACUCGUUAUCGCGUCUCGAUUAUUCAGUAAAUUUGCGAUAAGUAGUCCGUGGAAGCGCACGAAGCUUAGUGGAAAAGGGAAAAGGGAAGAGAGAGAGAGAGAAGGAGAAAAGGAAAGAGGAAAAGAGGGAAACGUUAACAAAAUGCCUUCCAUUCCUUCGAACGCGAUUCGCAUUACCACGGUGUAAUCUUUCUCGCAUGCGAUCGUAAAUCACCCCACUCUGAUCGCCAAGACCGUGGUAACGUGAAAUUUCCUUCGAACAGAUACAAUAUAUAACGUAUAUAAAUAUAUAUAUAUAUACAUCCAGAGAUUGUAUAAAAUUAUAGAAAUUGUUACGACGAAGUCGCGAUGUAGAGCUUAAUUUGUCCGUACGUUUUUCCGCAUAAGGAACCCUAGUCAUGCAGUGGAGGGGGCGUAUCGUUUAAACUAAGGAUCAAGCACCAUUAUUCGGGGGCUGGAGACACGAAAGGGGCAGUGAGGCAGAAAAACAAUUGUACAUAAUUAUAUAGACGUUAAUUGUAUAUUGUUAAAGCGAAAGAAGGGGGAUGAACCGAGCGAGAGAGAGAGAGAGAGAGAGAGAGAGAGAGAACGAUCUUUUUAUAUAAAAUAAAAGUAGAUUUUUUUUAGAUGUUUCUAACACGAGAUUGAUACUCGUACCUUCAACAUUAUCGAUGUUGACGUACGAUAACGAUAAGUAAUUGAAAUGCUUGAACGCGAGAACAUCGUUCUUCUUGCAAAAUUAUUCGUUCGUUCUGACUGCGAAGAAGGCAAUAUCUUUGUUUCAAAAGAAGAAGAAAAAGAGAAGAAGAAGGAGAAGAAGGAAACAAUUUAAAUUUAAAAUAUGGUCUACAAGGGAAUUAACGGAGAUAUUUUUAAUUGAAUUAUUAUUAAUUAAGUUAUACUUUUUAUAUACCACUGUAUAUCUUUUAAGCUAUGUAUAUCUUUUAUAAUAUCUAUCUAUACAUUAUGUAUAAUCUAUUGAGGAUAACACGAAUCUUGUUACAUUGUCUCUCGAUUGAUAUUUUAUAUACGCGUUUCGUUCUAUUGUAACUUGAAUUGGUGAUGGUUUAAAAUCGAUAAUCAAGAAGUUCGGAGUCGUUACACGCACUCAGUCGGAAUAUAUGACUGCGGGGAAGGGAGGGGAAAAAAAAAAAAAAAAGAAAAAAAUCUCGAAUCUCUCGUACAAGCGAAAUUAAACGAAAUAAUUCCGCGGAAAGAGUAUUAUAUAGAGCAGAUAACCUGCAAUUUAUUUUCAUCGGCUUGCAUAGCGAUAUAUAGAUGUCGGUCUGUCGAUCAUUACGUCCAAUUUAAUCACCGAUGGCAGGUAGAUUCGUCAAUUCGCGAAAAAUCGUUGGCGUGAAGAUUUUUAUACGCGCCGUUUAAACUCUCGAAUGGAAUACAAAAUAGUUCAAUAAUCGGUUAACCAGAAGGGUACAGAAGCGAGGAUCGUCGACAAAAAAUUGUUUCCAAGUAGCUGCGUUAAUGUGCCUCUACGAUCACCCGUGCGUCUACGUUCCACGAUUAAAUUAACAACGACGUGACGAGAUUUUUUUGGACGGGAGAAAUUGGAAGAAGAAGGAAGAGGAGGAAAAUUUUUGCGCGAUGAAAGAAAUAUCGGUUGUUGUCCUUGUCUCUCUGUACGUCGACUACGAUAUAAGGAAAAAGAGAAAAAGAAG